rnacentral:rRNA from 1 species
UACGGGGGGAGCAAGCGUUGUUCGGAUUUACUGGGCGUAAAGGGCGCGUAGGCGGCGCAACAAGUCACUUGUGAAAUCUCCGGGCUUAACCCGGAGCGGUCAAGUGAUACUGUCGUGCUAGAGUGCGGAAGGGGCUACUGGAAUUCUCGGUGUAGCGGUGAAAUGCGUAGAUAUCGAGAGGAACACCUGCGGCGAAGGCGGGUAGCUGGGCCGACACUGACGCUGGAGGCGACGAAAGCCGUGGGGAGCAAACAGG